rnacentral:rRNA from 1 species
GGACGAACGCUGGCGGCGUGCUUAACACAUGCAAGUCGAGCGGUAAGGCCCUUUCGGGGGUACACGAGCGGCGAACGGGUGAGUAACACGUGGGUGACCUGCCCUCAGCUCUGGGAUAAGCCUGGGAAACCGGGUCUAAUACCGGAUAUGACUCCAUGACGCAUGUUGUGGGGUGGAAAGCCUUGUGCGGCUGAGGAUGGGCCCGCGGCCUAUCAGCUUGUUGGUGGGGUGAUGGCCUACCAAGGCGACGACGGGUAGCCGGCCUGAGAGGGCGACCGGCCACACUGGGACUGAGACACGGCCCAGACUCCUACGGGAGGCAGCAGUGGGGAAUCUUGCGCAAUGGGCGAAAGCCUGACGCAGCGACGCCGCGUGAGGGAUGAC